rnacentral:rRNA from 1 species
GUGAGGAAUUUUCCGCAAUGGGAGAAAGCCUGACGGAGCAAUGCCGCGUGAAGGAUGAAGGCCUAUGGGUUGUAAACUUCUUUUCUCAGAAAAGAAUUAUGACGGUAUCUGAGGAAUAAGCAUCGGCUAACUCUGUGCCAGCAGCCGCGGUAAGACAGAGGAUGCAAGCGUUAUCCGGUAUGAUUGGGCGUAAAGCGUCUGUAGGUUGUUUAAAAAGUAUUCUGUCAAAGAUUAGGGCUUAACCCUAGAUAGGCAGAAUAAACUUUUAAGGUAGAGUUUGGUAGAGGCAGAGGGAAGACCCGGGGGAGCGGUGAAAUGCGUAGAUAUCGGGAGGAACACCAAAGGCGGAGGCACUCUGCUGGGCCAAUACUAACACUGAGAGACGAAAGCGAGGGGAGCAAAUGGGAUUAGAAACCCCUGUAGUCC